UGGUAUCUGAGGUUUCAGAAGAGGAAUUGAAAAAUUCUUCAGGUCCAGUUCCAGACUUACCUGAAGGAAUUACAGUGGCAUACACAAUUCCAAAAAAGCAAGAAGAUUCUGUCACUGAGGUAACAGUGGAAGAUUCUGGUGAAAGCUUGGAAGACCUCAUGGCCAAGAUGAAGAAUAUGUAGAUAAUGGACUGGGAUAUAUUUUAUUUCUCAUGUUAAAGCCUCUUCCCUUGAAAUUAAAAAAAAAAAUUUUUAACUGAUAAAACUUAGGGCAACAUUUAUUAAUGUAUAUUCUUACCUGAAUUGUUAUACUUUUUGAAAAUCCUGUGACUUGCCUAUUUCUCCCCGCUCCAGUGAAAUCAUUGACUCUCCUAAAAUGUAUGUUUCAUUCUAGUAAGAAAACCUCAAAGGAUAUUGUAGGAUAUAAAUCUUACUUGAAAAUACAGCUGUUGAAAUGUUUUGGCCUUUUGGAGUGGGGAAAGGACAAAUCUGAUCCUGUAAUCUUUUUCUUUCCAGUAAUACCUUGUGUCUGUUGCAUGAGGACAUGGACAAUAAAGCAGUACAUGAUUCUCAGAUACAGGGAGAAGGACAAGGCAUACAGCUUAUUGAUUAGAGCUGGCAAGCAUCUGCUCAUUAUGUUUGGAAUUGCUUUCUAUAAGAAAAUUUCCCACUACUUCUAACUUGAUCAACAAUGAAUUCAAAAUAGUUAAUCUAUGAAAUAACAUCCUCUCAAAUGUUUGCUGAUGAAAUACAAGUUGAAAUGUAGUUAUUGGAAAAGUCUGUAACCUGUGGAUUAUAUAUAUUCAAAGUGAGACAAAGGCAAAUAAAAAGCAGCUAUCUUUAUGAAUAGACAAAGUUGAUUUCAGGAAGUAUACAUUAUAUUCUGCACCGACCCAGGAAUAGAAAUUAUUGCAUCUGUGGAGCAUAUAUCUGGAGUUACUAUACUUUACUGAAGAGCAAGGCAUAAAUUUAGACUAAAAUCCACCCAGAUUACACUCAUUCUUUAGGCCACUCCUGGAUACUUCAUUUAAAUUUGAUUCUUGAGGUAAUGAGAUGUCGGCAAGGUUUGUCCUGUAUAUUAGGCAUAAAGGAAAAGUUCUAAACUGCCUCUCCAAUGACUUGUAGUCAGUGGUAGAGUAUCACUUUCCCUGAUCAUGACCACUAAACUGUAAAUUGAUAUAAAUUAGUUUUCUCUGGAGUUACAUCCAAGUAAUGAAGACUUAAGAUAACCUUGGUUGAAAUAAAUUUCCAAUAAUUUGGAGACUCAUAAAUACCAUGCAGGUGUAACCAUUGCCAGUAAGCUGUUUCUAUGCUUAUUUCCUAUUUUGACUUUUACGUUGAAGAUAGGAAUAUCUAAAUUAUAUCUCUAGGGAGAAAAUGUUGUAAAAAAUUAAAAGUGCACCCCUGAUUUGUAAAAUAAAGUUCAAAAAACUGAUUUCA